UAACUGGCUGAUGCAUUUCAAGCAAGCUACAGCGCCGAAACUACCUUCAGAUAGUUAUUAUGGACAUAACUUUGUAGCAAAUAAAUUACUUGAAAGCGUCGUACUGUUUACCGAUUAUUCCUUGGUUCUGGCCAGUUAUUAUUACAGACAACAGUGAUACGCUGUUGAGACUUUGGCUGAGUUCGAUGUCUUUCGACGGAUACAGCUGCUGAAGUGAUCUGGGCUGGAGCAGAUGUGUUGAUUUGUACUGUGCGCGACGAGCUGUAUGUCUUCAACACACGAGCUGGAACUGACGGUAGACUGAAUCUCAAACCUUACACUUCGCCCACUUCAAUUUACUAAAGUUCCUUAGUCCAGUGGAUCAUUUGGUGCGGAGUGAGGACAAGCAGUGUGUCUGUGCUGUCUGUGAGAGUGAUGGGGUGUACUGUGUCAAUCUACCAACUCUGCACCCCAGGUCUCCCACUCCCCCAGCUGACCAGUCCCCUGGCCCUGCUCUAUUCAAAAUAUUGUCUAAUUCACUGGCAGUCAGAGACAAGGGUGUGUCUUCUCUGAUCAAGGUGGAGGGUCCGUCUCCCUGCGAAAUGCAGUCUGGGGGUUCAUUUUCUAUAACGCUGCUGACCAAUGGAAACUGACUGGAGUUUAGUCUGCCUGUCAUUACUGUUGGUCACCAUGAUGACUCAGAGGAAAAUGACAGCGCAGGAGUGGUCAUGCAACCUGUGUUGGCUUGUGUUUACAGCAGUGAUACACCAACAUCUUCAGCAACAACAACCACCAUUUUCAUCAUUAUCAUCAUCCUCACCUAGCGUUGGCCAUUUUCUCCUGGAGCCUCUCCUCUUCAAGCUCCUCUUCGGCUUCGAAGCUGCCCUCAUCAACUCCCCUAUGAUCCUUUGCAGCCUGCUUAAUGGGCGUCUUUGCUCCCUCCGGGAUGACCAGGCCUCCAUGUCAGAGUACUACACAGCCCGGAGCAGCCAAUCACUUUUAUUGUAACCUUAGCCAGGACAAAUGGUGGUCCACAGUGUUUGGUAUCAUUGGGCGACAGGGCAGGGUGGUGCUGGUCAGGACUUAUGAGGAGAUGCCGUAUGGGAGGAGUAAGGUAGCAAGCUUCACGCAGGGGUGUGUAUCGCGGCCUGUGGUGUGUGUGUUUGUGCGCAGGCAGGAAAGGCCUGUACUAUAGCACCGGCUCAGAUACUCUAGCCCUGGAUCUCCCAGGGGAGAGAGACACCUCCAAGCCCAUGAGAGAGACUGAUGGUAGGCCACUGUGAGUGGCAAGACCAGGGUCAGGCCAUGGAUAGACCCAGAGAGUAUGCUGUCCUGUCAGCCUGAAUGUCUGCAUGGUCAUCACCCUGGCUGGGCCUCUCACACAACGCCUCAGGUUGUGUGUGUUACAGGCACAGUUCAGCUGGUGGCAUUGUCUCUCAGAGGGAGGCUUCAGCUGUUGAGGUAACUGUAGGGGACACCAGUUUGAAGGAGGUUAAGGAGGCCGUGGAGGUGCAGUGUGUGGACUACACAUCAGCGGACCUGCCCUCCACAAUCUCAAGACCUCAACCCAUUUGGGAUGAGUUGGACUGCAGAGUGAAGGAAACGCAGCCAACAAGUGCUCAGCAUAUGUGAGAACUCCUUCAAGACUGUUGGAAAAGCAUUCCAGGUGAAGCUGGUUGAGAGAAUGCCAAGAGUGCAAAGCUGUCAUCAAGGCAAAGGGUGGCUACUUUGAAUAAUCUCAAAUUUAUUUUGAUUUGAUUAAUGCUUUUUUGGUUACUACAUGAUUCCAUGUGUUAUUUCAUAGUUUUGCGGUCUUCACUAUUAUUCUACAAUGUAGAAAAUAGUAAAAAUAAAGAAAAAUCCUGGAAUAAGUAGGUGUGUCCAAAAUUUGACUGGUACUUGCUUAAUUCAUUUAAUCAAUAUUAUGUUUGUUCUAUUCCAAGAAAAACCCUCUGGGUUUCCAUUAGGAGGGAAUGGAAAAUAAGGUGAUGUACAACGUGACGGUUGGUAGUACAGUACUGGGCUAUUUAGCUGUGGUUGCCGCCAGUUGUCUUUUAAAGUGAACCUUUAUUUGACUUGGCAAGUCAGGUAAGAACUAAUUCUUAUUUACAAUGAAGGCCUACCCCGGCAAAACCCGGAUGGCGCUGGGCCAACUGUGCACAGCCCUAUGGCACUCCCAAUCCCGGUCGGAUGUGAUACAGCCUGAAUUCGAACCAGGGACUGUAGUAAAGCCUCUUGUACCGAGAUGCAGUGCCUUAGACCAUCCCACAUACACUCCUCAUCCAUAACUUCUUCAUUCUCUGACACUGGUACCAUCCCACAUACGCUCCUCAUCCAUAUCAUCCUCAUUCUCUGACACCGGUACCAUCCCACAUACGCUCCUCAUCCAUAUCAUCCUCAUUCUCUGACACUGGUACCAUCCCACAUACGCUCCUCAUCCAUAUCAUCCUCAUUCUCUGACACUGGUACCAUCUCACAUACGCUUCUCAUCCAUAUCAUCCUCAUUCUCUGACACUGGUACCAUCUCACAUACGCUUCUCAUCCAUAUCAUCCUCAUUCUCUGACACUGGUACCAUCCCACAUACGCUCCUCAUCCAUAUCAUCCUCAUUCUCUGACACUGGUACCAUCUCACAUACGCUCCUCAUCCAUAUCAUCCUCAUUCUCUGACACUGGUACCAUCUCACAUACGCUCCUCAUCCAUAUCAUCCUCAUUCUCUGACACUGGUACCAUCUCACAUACGCUUCUCAUCCAUAACAUCCUCAUUCUCUGACACUGGUAUCAUCUCACAUACGCUUCUCAUCCAUAACAUCCUCAUUCUCUGACACUGGUUCCAUCCCACAUACGCUUCUCAUCCAUAACAUCCUCAUUCUCUGACACUGGUUCCAUCCCACAUACGCUCCUCAUCCAUAACAUCCUCAUUCUCUGACACUGGUACCAUCCCACAUACGCUUCUCAUCCAUAACAUCCUCAUUCUCUGACACUGGUACCAUCUCACAUACGCUUCUCAUCCAUAACAUCCUCAUUCUCUGACACUGGUAUCAUCUCACAUACGCUUCUCAUCCAUAUCAUCCUCAUUCUCUGACACUGGUACCAUCCCACAUACGCUCCUCAUCCAUAUCAUCCUCAUUCUCUGACACUGGUACCAUCUCACAUACGCUCCUCAUCCAUAUCAUCCUCAUUCUCUGACACUGGUUCCAUCCCACAUACGCUUCUCAUCCAUAUCAUCCUCAUUCUCUGACACUGGUACCAUCUCACAUACGCUCCUCAUCCAUAACAUCCUCAUUCUCUGACACUGGUACCAUCUCACAUACGCUCCUCAUCCAUAUCAUCCUCAUUCUCUGACACUGGUUCCAUCCCACAUACGCUUCUCAUCCAUAACAUCCUCAUUCUCUGACACUGGUAUCAUCUCACAUACGCUUCUCAUCCAUAACAUCCUCAUUCUCUGACACUGGUAUCAUCUCACAUACGCUUCUCAUCCAUAACAUCCUCAUUCUCUGACACUGGUAUCAUCUCACAUACGCUUCUCAUCCAUAACAUCCUCAUUCUCUGACACUGGUAUCAUCUCACAUACGCUUCUCAUCCAUAACAUCCUCAUUCUCUGACACUGGUAUCAUCUCACAUACGCUUCUCAUCCAUAACAUCCUCAUUCUCUGACACUGGUACCAUCCCACAUAUGCUUCUCAUCCAUAACAUCCUCAUUCUCUGACACUGGUAUCAUCUCACAGACUCUCCUCAUCUUCAUCCCCAAUACACUCUCCAACACAUCUCCUGUAAAGGAGAAAUUAAUGACUAUUUGUUUCCUCUGCUGUUUUUGUACCCCAAAAGCAUUUAUUUCUGUUAAAGUUGAAUGGUCAAGUCAUGUUUGCAAAUGUGUACAUACCAAGUGCUGCUGUAUAUUUUACAUGUGUUUUGUGUGCCUUUAUAAUGUAGCCUACCUGUAAAAUUGAAACAAUUAAUUUGAAUACCGUCACUUCACUGACAACACAUUAUCCACACACGAAACAUAUAUUUGACACAGAGAGAGAAUUUUUAUCAUUUUUUCAAAACGUUUCAG